AAAUUGAAGAGUUUGAUCAUGGCUCAGAUUGAACGCUGGCGGCAGGCCUAACACAUGCAAGUCGAGCGGUAGCACAGAAGAGCUUGCUCUUCGGGUGACGAGCGGCGGACGGGUGAGUAAUGUCUGGGAAACUGCCUGAUGGAGGGGGAUAACUACUGGAAACGGUAGCUAAUACCGCAUAACGUCUUCGGACCAAAGAGGGGGACCUUCGGGCCUCUUGCCAUCGGAUGUGCCCAGAUGGGAUUAGCUAGUAGGUGAGGUAAUGGCUCACCUAGGCGACGAUCCCUAGCUGGUCUGAGAGGAUGACCAGCCACACUGGAACUGAGACACGGUCCAGACUCCUACGGGAGGCAGCAGUGGGGAAUAUUGCACAAUGGGCGCAAGCCUGAUGCAGCCAUGCCGCGUGUGUGAAGAAGGCCUUCGGGUUGUAAAGCACUUUCAGCGGGGAGGAAGGCGAUAAGGUUAAUAACCUUGUCGAUUGACGUUACCCGCAGAAGAAGCACCGGCUAACUCCGUGCCAGCAGCCGCGGUAAUACGGAGGGUGCAAGCGUUAAUCGGAAUGACUGGGCGUAAAGCGCACGCAGGCGGUCUGUUAAGUUGGAUGUGAAAUCCCCGGGCUUAACCUGGGAACUGCAUUCAAAACUGACAGGCUAGAGUCUUGUAGAGGGGGGUAGAAUUCCAGGUGUAGCGGUGAAAUGCGUAGAGAUCUGGAGGAAUACCGGUGGCGAAGGCGGCCCCCUGGACAAAGACUGACGCUCAGGUGCGAAAGCGUGGGGAGCAAACAGGAUUAGAUACCCUGGUAGUCCACGCUGUAAACGAUGUCGACUUGGAGGUUGUGCCCUUGAGGCGUGGCUUCCGGAGCUAACGCGUUAAGUCGACCGCCUGGGGAGUACGGCCGCAAGGUUAAAACUCAAAUGAAUUGACGGGGGCCCGCACAAGCGGUGGAGCAUGUGGUUUAAUUCGAUGCAACGCGAAGAACCUUACCUACUCUUGACAUCCACAGAAUUUGGUAGAGAUACCUUAGUGCCUUCGGGAACUGUGAGACAGGUGCUGCAUGGCUGUCGUCAGCUCGUGUUGUGAAAUGUUGGGUUAAGUCCCGCAACGAGCGCAACCCUUAUCCUUUGUUGCCAGCACGUAAUGGUGGGAACUCAAAGGAGACUGCCGGUGAUAAACCGGAGGAAGGUGGGGAUGACGUCAAGUCAUCAUGGCCCUUACGAGUAGGGCUACACACGUGCUACAAUGGCGUAUACAAAGAGAAGCGAACUCGCGAGAGCAAGCGGACCUCAUAAAGUACGUCGUAGUCCGGAUUGGAGUCUGCAACUCGACUCCAUGAAGUCGGAAUCGCUAGUAAUCGUAGAUCAGAAUGCUACGGUGAAUACGUUCCCGGGCCUUGUACACACCGCCCGUCACACCAUGGGAGUGGGUUGCAAAAGAAGUAGGUAGCUUAACCUUCGGGAGGGCGCUUACCACUUUGUGAUUCAUGACUGGGGUGAAGUCGUAACAAGGUAACCGUAGGGGAACCUGCGGUUGGAUCACCUCCUUACC
rnacentral:rRNA from 1 species